UACGGAGGGUGCAAGCAUUAAUCGGAAUUAUUGGGCGUAAAGGGCGCGUAGGCGGGUAGGUAAGUCAGAUGUGAAAUUUCGGAGCUCAACUUCGAAGCUGCAUUUGAAACUACCGAUCUGGAGGAUAGGCGGAGAAAACGGAAUUCCACGUGUAGCGGUGAAAUGCGUAGAGAUGUGGAAGAACACCUGUGGCGAAAGCGGUUUUCUAGCUUAGGCCUGACGCUGAGGCGCGAAAGCAAGGGGAGCAAACAGG
rnacentral:rRNA from 1 species